AUUAAUUACACAAAAGUUUACAGAACUUCGAGAACAACGAUCGCUCAAGAUAUAAAAUAAAAAAAAUGUCAAAAAUAAUUUUAUUAUUAUCAAUUUUCGCAAUGAUUGGUCUCUAUGCUGGUGCAGAUGCGGCAUGUCCAGGCGGCUGGUGCCAUCCAUCACAAGGUUAUGGCUGUUGUGAAGGAAAUGUAUGUGAUUCGUAUUUGUUUCAAGGUACGUGCAUAACUCAAAAGGAACACCUAUUUCGAUCUAUUGCAUCUGGAAAAUAAUUAUAAUAAUAGAGUGAAAAUUUAAAGAUGUAUUUUUCCAAUUAAUAAAACUCUCAAUACAA